rnacentral:rRNA from 1 species
CCUACGGGUGGCAGCAGUGGGGAAUAUUGGUCAAUGGAGGAAACUCUGAACCAGCAACGCCGCGUGAAUGAUGAAGGUCUUCGGAUUGUAAAGUUCUUUUCUACGGGAAGAAGAAAGUGACGGUACCUUAGGAAUAAGCCUCGGCUAACUACGUGCCAGCAGCCGCGGUAAUACGUAGGAGGCGAGCGUUAUCCGGAAUGACUGGUCGUAAAGGGUGCGUAGGUGGUUUGACAAGUUGGUAGCGUAACUCCGGGGCUCAACCUCGGCACUACUGCCAAAACUGUCGGACUUGAGUGCAGGAGGGGCAAUUGGAAUUCCUGGUGUAGCGGUGGAAUGCGCAGAUAUUGGGAGGAACGCCGGUGGCGAAGGCGGAUUGCUGGACUGUAACUGACGCUGAGGCACGAAAGCGUGGGGAGCGAACAGGAUUAGAUACCCGGGUAGUC